rnacentral:rRNA from 1 species
AGGGGGGGGCUAACCCAUGCAAGUCGAGCGGCAGCGACAACAUUGAACCUUCGGGGGAUUUGUUGGGCGGCAAGCGGCGGACGGGUGAGUAAUGCUUGGGAAUAUGCCUUAUGGUGGGGGACAACAGUUGGAAACGACUGCUAAUACCGCAUAAUGUCUACGGACCAAAGUGGGGGACCUUCGGGCCUCACGCCAUAAGAUUAGCCCAAGUGGGAUUAGCUAGUUGGUGAGGUAAUGGCUCACCAAGGCGACGAUCCCUAGCUGGUUUGAGAGGAUGAUCAGCCACACUGGGACUGAGACACGGCCCAGACUCCUACGGGAGGCAGCAGUGGGGAAUAUUGCACAAUGGGCGCAAGCCUGACGCAGCCAUGCCGCGUGUGUGAAGAAGGCCUUCGGGUUGUAAAGCACUUUCAGUAAGGAGGAAAGGUUAAGUGUUAAUAGCACUUAGCUGUGACGUUACUUACAGAAGAAGCACCGGCUAACUCCGUGCCAGCAGCCGCGGUAAUACGGAGGGUGCGAGCGUUAAUCGGAAUUACUGGGCGUAAAGCGUACGCAGGCGGUUUGUUAAGCGAGAUGUGAAAGCCCCGGGCUCAACCUGAGAACUGCAUUUCGAACUGGCAAACUAGAGUGUGAUAGAGGGUGGUAGAAUUUCAGGUGUAGCGGUGAAAUGCGUAGAGAUCUGAAGGAAUACCGAUGGCGAAAGGCAGCCAACCUGGGGUCAA